rnacentral:rRNA from 1 species
UACGGGGGGAGCAAGCGUUGUUCGGAUUUACUGGGCGUAAAGGGCGCGUAGGCGGUCAGCACAAGUCAGUUGUGAAAUCUCCGGGCUUAACCCGGAAAGGUCAACUGAUACUGUGCGACUAGAGUGCGGAAGGGGCAACUGGGAAUUCUCGGUGUAGCGGUGAAAUGCGUAGAUCUCGAGAGGAACACCAGUGGCGAAGGCGGGUCUCUGGACAACACCUGACGCUGAGGCACGAAAGCCAGGGGAGCAAACGGG